AUAUUGGCUUGACGGACACGUUUAAAUAUGAACAUGUUAUUUAUUCGUUCUGUUUAUUUCACAAUACAGGUAUUUCGGAAAAAAAUCGAAUGAAGUUCAUAAUGGCAUAAUCGUGUGAUGGCAACCGCGAAUUAAUAUUUUUAAUAUUUCGUAUUAUUAUACAGAGAUAUACGAUUUGUCGAGAUCCUUUCAAAAUUUCGAACCGGACACCUGCCAGUUUGUUUAUCGCCGUAGUUAGAAAACAAUGCCACUCGAUUUUAUCACGAUAACUUGCUUCUUUCGCGUACCCUAAGAAGGUUGACAAAUGACAGAUGACUAUAACUGAGGUAUACCUAGGUUACCUAGGUUUAUAAUUUUAUAUUGCUUUUUUUU